rnacentral:rRNA from 1 species
GCGAAAGCAAGAAUUCCUCGCUAGAAUCCGACCCCGGGCCGAUUUGCGUGGCUUCUGUGCGGCCCUUUCUGCGCCAUGGACUUCUGAUCCGGGGCCUCUCGGAUCUUGGGGGGAAGAAGGUGGGUGGCGGGCGGUGGGCGGUGAGCCGGCCGGGAGAUGGCCGGCGGGAAGGAGCCGAUCGAGGUCAAGUUCCGGCUCUUCGACGGCACGGACAUCGGCCCCAGCAAGUACGACCCCGCCACCACCGUCUCCGCGCUCAAGGACUUCAUCCUCGCCCGGUGGCCGCAAGAUAAGGAAAUAACUCCAAAAACUGUCAAUGACCUGAAGCUCAUCAAUGGUGGAAAGAUAUUGGAGAAUAACCGGACACUUGCCGAGUCGCGUGUUACAAUAGGAGAGGUCCCUGGAGGUGUAAUUACAAUGCAUGUGGUAGUGCGCCCUCCACAAGUUGACAAAAACCAGAAGCAGCUGGGCAAUUCCCCCAAGCAGAACAGAUGCGGAUGCACCAUACUGUGAUACGGCACCCCCCUGCACGAGGCCGAAGGCGGUGAUGGCGUGAGGAGCGCCGGCCACGCGAAGCCGAGCCGUGUAUGAGUGGGAGCCAGUGAUGAAGUAGAAGAGGGACGUUGAAAAUGAGCACUGAUGAUCUAUUACUAGCGGGAGCCAGUGAUGAAGUAGAGGGGGUUGAAGAUGAACAAUGCACGAUCUGUUUUCGACUUUUCGGACUUUUCGG